AUAUACUUUCACACUGUCCUAAAAAUUUGAAUGAAGACAAGAAAGUAGACAAUUUACUUAUAUGUAUUACAACUAAAUAUGGUUAGUGGCCAGAAUUAAAAUAAAUAAAAAUCCAGUUGGGGUGGAGUUAUGACGUAAGCGUCGGCGCUCCGGUAUGAGGUAGCAGCAUGAACAAGCUAAGAGAGUAUGCUGGAAGAAAUGUGGUGAGCAGCGAAUUGCAGAGAGGAGGAAAGACACACUCUGGAGAGAACACAAGGAAACCUGGAAGCAGCAGCGUUCUGGUGUACUAUAGGAAGAAAAAUACAAUACGCAUUAGAUGUUGUUUCACUGCUA